rnacentral:lncRNA from 1 species
CCAUCAUCACCACCACCCUCCAGCAGGCUCCUGCGGUGGCGGCCGCCGCGGCUCCCCAGGACCCCGCGACCAAGAGCCGGGUGGGCAGCGGUGCACCCCAAGCCGCGGCCCCGGCGCCCGCCGCCCUCGUCGCAGGAAACCCGGGUGGGGACGGGGCCCCCGCAGCCACGGGCACCGCGGCCGCCGCCUCUUUAGCCACCGCCGCCGACAGCGAAGACGCGGAGAAAAAAGUUCUCGCCACCAAAGUCCUUGGCACUGUCAAAUGGUUCAACGUCAGAAAUGGAUAUGGAUUUAUAAAUCGAAAUGACACCAAAGAAGAUCUAUUUAUACAUCAGACUGCCAUCAAGAAGAAUAACCCACAGAAAUAUCUGCGCAGUGUAGGAGAUGGAGAAACUGUAGAGUUUGAUGUGGUUUAAGGAGAGAAGGGUGCAGAAGCAGCCAGUGUGACUGGCCGGGGUGGAGUUCCUGUGGAGGGCAGUCGUUACGCGCUGAUUGGCGCCGUUACAGACGUGGCUACUAUGGAAGGCGCCAUGGCCCUCCCCGGGAUUACGCUGGGAGGAGGAGGAAGAAGGGAGCGGCAGCAGUGAAGGAUUUGACCCCCCUACCACUGAUAGGCAGUUCUCUGGGGCCCGGAAUCGGCUGCGCCGCCCCCAGUAUCGCCCCCAGUACAGGCAGCAGCGGUUCCCGCCUUACCACGUGGGACAGACGUUUGACCGUCGCUCACCGGUCUUACCCCAUCCCAACAGAAUACAGGCUGUUGAGAUUGGAGAGCUGAAGGAUGGAGUCCCAGAAGGAGCACAACUUCAGGGACCAUUUCAUCGAAAUCCAACUUACCGCCCAAGGUACCAUAGCAGGGGACCUCCUCGCCCACGACCUGCCCCAGCAGUUGGAGAGGCUGAAGAUAAAGAAAAUCAGCAAGCCUCCAGUGGUCCAAACCAGCCGCCUGUUCGCCGUGGAUACCGGCGUCCCUACAAUUACCGGCGUCGCCCACGUUCUCCUAACGCUCCUUCACAAGAUGGCAAAGAGGCCACGGCAGGUGAAGCACCAACUGAGAACCCUGCUCCAUCCACCGAGCAGAGCAGUGCUGAGU